UCCAUUGUGAGGUGGAAUCUGAAGGAAGCUGCAAGCUAAUAAAGCUAGAUGU
rfam:Eubacterium uniforme strain ATCC 35992 genome assembly, contig: EI43DRAFT_scaffold00009.9